CCUACGGGAGGCAGCAGUAGGGAAUAUUGCUCAAUGGGGGAAACCCUGAAGCAGCAACGCCGCGUGGAGGAUGAAGGUUUUAUGAUUGUACACUCCUUUUGUUAGAGAAGAUUCUUACGGUAUCUAACGAAUACUCACCGGCUAACUCCGUUCCAGCAUCCGCGGUACUACGGAGGGUGCAAGCGUUACUCGGAAUCACUGGGCGUAAAGAGUGCGUAGGCGGGGUAAUAAGUCAGAUGUGAAAUCCUGUAGCUUAACUACAGAACUGCAUUUGAAACUGUUACUCUGGAGUGUGGGAGAGGUAGGUGGAAGUCUUGGUGUAGGGGUAAAAUCCGUAGAGAGCAAGAGGAAUACUCAUUGCGAAGGCGACCUGCUGGAACAUGACUGACGCUGAUGCACGAAAGCGUGGGGAGCAAACAGGAUUAGAUACCCUUGUAGUC
rnacentral:rRNA from 1 species